UUCCAACAUUUAUAUAUACAUAUACAUGGCUUUCUCUUAUAGAAUGAUCCUUUUCAGAGUUUUGCUCCUUGUACUAAUCAUUUUUGUAACAUCUCAAUCGAAAGUAGAUUGCAGACCAUUGUUCAUACAUUAUUAUGAAUGGUCUUCAUGGGGUAAUAGCCUUCUCUUACAAUCUCUUCCAAACGCUCCUGCACCUCCUUCAAACGGAGAUCCUACUCAUCCUUAAUCAUAUACUCCUUUCAAAUAUAUUGAAGUUUUAACGACAUUAACACUCGUUGUUCAACUUCCACGUGUCAGUGGAUUGCAUCAAUAUUUUUUUAGUUGCAUGUCUCAUGCAAUUUUUUUCUUUCAUAUGGUAUUCGUUAAUUGUAUUCACAUUCAAUUUCAGUCAUCUCACAGAAUAUAUCCGAACAAAGUUGAGAUAUAUUCUAUUAGGCUGUGGUAUGUAAACUUGGAGUAAAUCUAAAUAAAUAUAUGUAACUCAUUGGGUUGAAGCAUAAAUACAGAUUUUAAAUGGAU
rnacentral:lncRNA from 1 species